GUUUCCACUGUUUCCAAGGAGGUUAUGUCAGGCAGAACCAAGUAUGUGAUGGAAAUAGCGACUGCAAUGAUGCAUCUGAUGAACUUAAUUGCCCCAGCAGAUGUCACUUUUACCAUAAAGAGUUGACUGGUGCAAAUGGCACUCUGGCUUCAUUUGUUUACCGGAAUGCACAGACAUGUACAUGGGCCAUUGAGACUGCUGUUGGGACCAAUGCAUUUGUGGAGCUGAGGGACUUUACCAGUGAAGAGUCGGCCGACAUUGCCACCAUAUAUGUGGGAAGUCUAGACCCAACCAGAGCCACAGUUGUUGGCCAGCUAUCAGGCACUGUAGGGACACGGCAGUUUAGAAGCUUCAACAAC